rnacentral:rRNA from 1 species
CCGCCCGUCACAUCACGAAAGUGGGUUGUACUAGAAGUGCCAGCGCUAACCCGCAAGGGAGGCAUGGUAUAACGGUAUGAUCCAUGAUUGGGGUG